CUGGCUCAGAUUGAACGCUGGCGGCAGGCCUAACACAUGCAAGUCGAGCGGAUGACGGGAGCUUGCUCCUUGAUUCAGCGGCGGACGGGUGAGUAAUGCCUAGGAAUCUGCCUGGUAGUGGGGGACAACGUUUCGAAAGGAACGCUAAUACCGCAUACGUCCUACGGGAGAAAGCAGGGGACCUUCGGGCCUUGCGCUAUCAGAUGAGCCUAGGUCGGAUUAGCUAGUUGGUGGGGUAAUGGCUCACCAAGGCGACGAUCCGUAACUGGUCUGAGAGGAUGAUCAGUCACACUGGAACUGAGACACGGUCCAGACUCCUACGGGAGGCAGCAGUGGGGAAUAUUGGACAAUGGGCGAAAGCCUGAUCCAGCCAUGCCGCGUGUGUGAAGAAGGUCUUCGGAUUGUAGAGCACUUUAAGUUGGGAGGAAGGGCAGUAAGUUAAUACCU
rnacentral:rRNA from 1 species